UACAGAGGUCUCAAGCGUUGUUCGGAUUCAUUGGGCGUAAAGGGCGCGUAGGCGGCUCGGCACGUCCGUUGUGAAAUCGCCCGGCUCAACUGGGCGGGGUCGGCGGAUACGGCCGAGCUGGAGCAAGCUAGGGGGGUAAUGGAAUUCCCGGUGUAGUGGUGGAAUGCGUAGAUAUCGGGAGGAACACCAGUGGCGAAGGCGGUUACCUGGAGCUUUGCUGACGCUGAUGCGCGAAAGCGUGGGAGCGAGUCCGG
rnacentral:rRNA from 1 species